rnacentral:rRNA from 1 species
CAGUGGCGAACGGGUGAGUAACACGUGAGCAACCUGCCCUGGACUCUGGGAUAAGCGCUGGAAACGGUGUCUAAUACUGGAUAUGAGCUCCUUCCGCAUGGUGGGGGUUGGAAAGAUUUUUCGGUCUGGGAUGGGCUCGCGGCCUAUCAGCUUGUUGGUGAGGUAAUGGCUCACCAAGGCGUCGACGGGUAGCCGGCCUGAGAGGGUGACCGGCCACACUGGGACUGAGACACGGCCCAGACUCCUACGGGAGGCAGCAGUGGGGAAUAUUGCACAAUGGGCGGAAGCCUGAUGCAGCAACGCCGCGUGAGGGAUGACGGCCUUCGGGUUGUAAACCUCUUUAGCAGGGAAGAAGCUUUUGUGACGGUACUGCAGAAAAAGCGCCGGCUAACUACGUGCCAGCAGCCGCGGUAAUACGUAGGGCGCAAGCGUUAUCCGGAAUUAUUGGGCGUAAAGAGCUCGUAGGCGGUUUGUCGCGUCUGCUGUGAAAUCCCGAGGCUCAACCUCGGGCCUGCAGUGGGUACGGGCAGACUAGAGUGCGGUAGGGGAGAUUGGAAUUCCUGGUGUAGCGGUGGAAUGCGCAGAUAUCAGGAGGAACACCGAUGGCGAAGGCAGAUCUCUGGGCCGUAACUGACGCUGAGGAGCGAAAGGGUGGGGAGCAAACAGGCUUAGAUACCCUGGUAGUCCACCCCGUAAACGUUGGGAACUAGUUGUGGGGACCAUUCCACGGUUUCCGUGACGCAGCUAACGCAUUAAGUUCCCCGCCUGGGGAGUACGGCCGCAAGGCUAAAACUCAAAGGAAUUGACGGGGACCCGCACAAGCGGCGGAGCAUGCGGAUUAAUUCGAUGCAACGCGAAGAACCUUACCAAGGCUUGACAUACACCAGAACACCGUAGAAAUACGGGACUCUUUGGACACUGGUGAACAGGUGGUGCAUGGUUGUCGUCAGCUCGUGUCGUGAGAUGUUGGGUUAAGUCCCGCAACGAGCGCAACCCUCGUUCUAUGUUGCCAGCACGUAAUGGUGGGAACUCAUGGGAUACUGCCGGGGUCAACUCGGAGGAAGGUGGGGAUGACGUCAAAUCAUCAUGCCCCUUAUGUCUUGGGCUUCACGCAUGCUACAAUGGCCGGUACAAAGGGCUGCAAUACCGUGAGGUGGAGCGAAUCCCAAAAAGCCGGUCCCAGUUCGGAUUGAGGUCUGCAACUCGACCUCAUGAAGUCGGAGUCGCUAGUAAUCGCAGAU